AACGAACGCUGGCGGCAUGCCUAACACAUGCAAGUCGAACGAGACCUUCGGGUCUAGUGGCGCACGGGUGCGUAACGCGUGGGAAUCUACCCUUGGGUUCGGAAUAACUCAGAGAAAUUUGAGCUAAUACCGGAUGAUGACGUAAGUCCAAAGAUUUAUCGCCCAAGGAUGAGCCCGCGUAGGAUUAGCUAGUUGGUGAGGUAAAGGCUCACCAAGGCGACGAUCCUUAGCUGGUCUGAGAGGAUGAUCAGCCACACUGGGACUGAGACACGGCCCAGACUCCUACGGGAGGCAGCAGUGGGGAAUAUUGGACAAUGGGCGAAAGCCUGAUCCAGCAAUGCCGCGUGAGUGAUGAAGGCCUUAGGGUUGUAAAGCUCUUUUACCCGGGAUGAUAAUGACAGUACCGGGAGAAUAAGCUCCGGCUAUCUCCGUGCCAGCAGCCGCAGUAACAC
rnacentral:rRNA from 1 species